GAGUUUGAUCCUGGCUCAGGAUGAACGCUAGCUACAGGCUUAACACAUGCAAGUCGAGGGGCAGCAUGGUCUUAGCUUGCUAAGGCCGAUGGCGACCGGCGCACGGGUGAGUAACACGUAUCCAACCUGCCGUCUACUCUUGGACAGCCUUCUGAAAGGAAGAUUAAUACAAGAUGGCAUCAUGAGUCCGCAUGUUCACAUGAUUAAAGGUAUUCCGGUAGACGAUGGGGAUGCGUUCCAUUAGAUAGUAGGCGGGGUAACGGCCCACCUAGUCUUCGAUGGAUAGGGGUUCUGAGAGGAAGGUCCCCCACAUUGGAACUGAGACACGGUCCAAACUCCUACGGGAGGCAGCAGUGAGGAAUAUUGGUCAAUGGGCGAGAGCCUGAACCAGCCAAGUAGCGUGAAGGAUGACUGCCCUAUGGGUUGUAAACUUCUUUUAUAAAGGAAUAAACCCUCCCACGUGUGGGAGCUUGUAUGUACCUUAUGAAUAAGCAUCGGCUAACUCCGUGCCAGCAGCCGCGGUAAUACGGAGGAUGCGAGCGUUAUCCGGAUUUAUUGGGUUUAAAGGGAGCGCAGACGGGUCGUUAAGUCAGCUGUGAAAGUUUGGGGCUCAACCUUAAAAUUGCAGUUGAUACUGGCGUCCUUGAGUGCGGUUGAGGUGUGCGGAAUUCGUGGUGUAGCGGUGAAAUGCUUAGAUAUCACGAAGAACUCCGAUUGCGAAGGCAGCACACUAAUCCGUAACUGACGUUCAUGCUCGAAAGUGUGGGUAUCAAACAGGAUUAGAUACCCUGGUAGUCCACACGGUAAACGAUGGAUACUCGCUGUUGGCGAUAUACUGUCAGCGGCUUAGCGAAAGCGUUAAGUAUCCCACCUGGGGAGUACGCCGGCAACGGUGAA
rnacentral:rRNA from 1 species